rnacentral:rRNA from 1 species
UACGUAGGGGGCAAGCGUUGUCCGGAAUUAUUGGGCGUAAAGAGCGUGUAGGCGGUCCGGUAAGUCGGCUGUGAAAGUCCAGGGCUCAACCCUGGGAUGCCGGUCGAUACUGCCGGACUAGAGUUCGGAAGAGGCGAGUGGAAUUCCCGGUGUAGUGGUGAAAUGCGUAGAUAUCGGGAGGAACACCAGUGGCGAAGGCGACUACCUGGCCUGUUCUUGACGCUGAGGCGCGAAAGCUAGGGGAGCAAACGGG